rnacentral:lncRNA from 1 species
AUGAAAUGUGACGUGGGUGCAGACAGCGCUGCAGGCGCAAUGAAUCGCGGCGCCUUUCUGAGGAGAUUCGCAGCUCCAGCGCUACGCUCGGUUUCAGGCCGCGGCGGGGCGCAGCCCUGGGGGCGGGGUCAGCGCUCGCACUUCCGCUUCCGGGUCGGGGGUCAGCGUGGCCAGAGCUGCUUCCGGCCGCUGGGAGCGGGUGAGGCUGCGGCGGCGGUGAUUUUUCCCCUAGUUUAUUAAUGAGAGCAAGGAUACAGCAGGCGUCCCGAGCCGUGGAUGGUCAGUAAGGCGGCCAGCGCCCCGCAGGAACCAUGGCCUAUCAGCUGUACCGGAACACCACGCUGGGCAACAGCCUGCAGGAGAGUCUGGACGAGCUCAUCCAGGUACGCGCGCCGGGCUCGGGGCGGCUGCCGGGGGUGGCGGGGCAGAUAUAGCCGUGCUGUGGGCGGCGUCUCAGCCUUCAGAACGUUUAUCUACUGAGAUCAAAAGCGAUUAGCGUUACAUGGGAGCCUUUAGGCGAACGUUUUAGUCGAAAGCCUUUUCUGAUGUGGCACCCUGUUGUGUGGUCCAGUAAAGCUAUAGCUAGACUAUUCUGGAACACUGCAAUCAAUUUCCUCUUCUUCUCCUGGUUUCCAACUAACCAGCAGAAAUCUUUAUGUAGCACAAAAGAUCUUCUAGCACGUUAUUUCUUCUGCCGGGGUUAAGGUGGGAAAACAAAGGUAAAUACGGGAAUAUGGAGCUGUUGAACAGGUCCAGAGGAGGGCCACAAAGACCUAUCAGAGGGCUGGAGCACCUCCCCUAGGAGGACAGGUUGAGAGAGCCUGGGAUCUUCAGCCUGGAGAAGAGAAAGCUCCAAGGAGACCUUACAGUGGCCUUCCAAUACAGAAGGGGGCCUACUGGAAAGCUGGGAAGGGACUUUUUGUAAGGGCAGGAGGAGGGGAAAUGGUUUUAAACUGGAAGAGGGUAGAUUUAGACUAGAUAUUAGGAAGAAAUCCUUUACUGUGAGGUUGAGACACUGAAACAGGUUCCCAGUGAGGUUGUGGAUGCUUUCUCCUUGGAAGCACUGAAGUUCAAACUGGAUGGGGCUGUGAACAGCCUGGGCUAGAGGGAGAUGUCCUUGCCUAUAGCGGGGGGUGGGACUAGGUGAUCUCAAAGGUCCCUUCCAAGGCAAACCAUUCUGUGAUAAUGCUUCUGUAAUGCUUCUAUAAGCUUAUCUUUCAGAGACCUCUUCCCAUAAACUUUCUUGUGAUAUUCUUAGUUUUUAGGGCGGUUUUGUUUUGUUUGUUUUUUCUUUUUUUUUUGAGUGACAUUGGAAGUGACUCAAAACUUGUUUUUACACCACUUCAGUCACAGCAAAUCACUCCUCAGCUGGCCCUUCAGGUGCUACUUCAGUUUGAUAAAGCUAUAAACUCGGCACUGGCACAACGAGUCAGGAACAGAGUCAAUUUCAGGGUAAGAUAACUGCCCGUCAGAGUUCUUGGUAAGCAAUGGUGGUUUGAGUGUUGAUGCAGAAUGUCAUUAAAAACUGUGUGCUGUGAGCAGAGAUUUUAAAAGGUUCUUUGUGAUUCUGAAAUAAUGGCUGCCUACUUGUAUGUUAUGUAUUUAAUUGUGAAGCUUAUUAUCUCCUGUUCUGUUAGGGAAUUUUUGAAGGAAUGUAGAAAUCGGAAACAGGAUUUUGGUGGGAUGAGAGCAGAGGAAAAAGGAAAGGCUUAAAUGUGUAGUGUUGCUGUUGUUAGUGUCCUGCAGAUGGGAAGAAUUUUGCUCCUUUGAAUUGCAUUCAGCAGAAGUGAGAUAAAGCCAGUUUUUCAGCCACAGCUCUGAUAGGAAAAAACUACAGAGAUGCAGGUUUACUUUUAUAUUCUAUCUGUUUGGCCUCACAGAAAAACUUUUUUUUCCACAGCCACCCACUUUAGUUAAUAGCAGAUAGCCAACAAAUUAUUAAAUGUCAAUUUGAUUGUAGUAUUGAGGGAAAAGUACUCCUAAAUAUUUCUCUGCAGUCUAUGCAGAAUGCAGAAAUAAAGCGUGCUUGUAGGAUUUUAGAUUUUUUUUA